rnacentral:rRNA from 1 species
AGAGUUUGAUCCUGGCUCAGGAUAAACGCUGGCGGCGUGCCUAACACAUGCAAGUCGAACGCUCUACGCAAGUAGGGAGUGGCGGACGGGUGAGGAACACGUGGGGAUCUACCCAGAGGUGAGGAAUACCGGCGAGAAAUCGCCGACAAGACCGCAUAGGCUUCCUUUGGAAGCAAAGCCGAAAGGCGCCUGUGGAUGAA